rfam:Glomerella graminicola M1.001 genomic scaffold supercont1.17, whole genome shotgun sequence.
GGUGGAGUGCCCGAGUGGUUAUGGGGUUGCGUUUAGGCUUACGUAAUCAUUAAGAUCACAAUACCUCCGCAAUGGGUCAACCGCGCGAGUUCGAAUCUCGUCUCCAUCA